rnacentral:rRNA from 11 species
CCUGAAUAUCUAAAUACUUUAAAGGUACCCAGUCCUGACUAACUCUGGAAGCUAAGCAGUCUCAUCUCUGGUUAGUACUUGGAUGAAAGAUCACCAAUGAAUACUAGGUGUUACCUGCU